rnacentral:rRNA from 1 species
UACAGAGGGUGCAAACGUUGUUCGGAAUUACUGGGCGUAAAGCGUGUGUAGGCGGCCUCGCAAGUCGGAUGUGAAAGCCCUGGGCUCAACCCAGGAAGUGCACUCGAUACUGGAUGGCUUGAGUUCGGGAGAGGGAUGCGGAAUUCCAGGUGUAGCGGUGAAAUGCGUAGAUAUCUGGAGGAACAUCGGUGGCGAAGGCGGCAUCCUGGACCGACACUGACGCUGAGGAGCGAAAGCCAGGGGAGCAAACGGG